GAAAAAUGGUUGAUCAGAGAUCACGAAGACGUAAACAAACAGUUUUAAUACUUUUUAUGGACAAUCGGUGAAUAUUUAUAGGAGAACAAGGCUGAGACCAACCAAAUUUUUGGGUAGAAGUAUCAAACAGGAAUGGAUAAUCGAUGAACAAUUAGGUAAAAAAGAGUGGUACAAAGGAACUAUUCUUUCUGUAUUGUCUGGGACUGAUGGCAAUUUGAAUUCUGUUUAUGAGAUCAAAUAUGAAGGAGAGGAUGAGGCUUAUGAAAUAAACCAUUUAAUUCAAGAUUACCAGUCUGGAUCUGUUGAGUUUUGUGAUGUAUAGCUUAACUUCAGUUUAGAUAAACAGGAUUUUGGGAACUUGAAAAAACAGUAGAAUUUUUUGAAGCAUAGACUACUAAUUUGAAGAAUAUUGGACCUGUGAACAUUUCAUGUUGUUUGUAAAUGAUAUUUUAUGACAGUACUCAUCACAAGGAAGAUUUUGAUGUAUAAUAUGGUAUGCUAUAUAAACUGAAUAUGUAUUUAUUGAA